rnacentral:tRNA from 1 species
ACCGAUGUAGUUCAAUGGUAGAACGUCUGCUUGAUGAGCGGAAGAUCUUUGUUCAACUCAAGGUAUCGGUACCA